rnacentral:rRNA from 1 species
CGGUAACAGCUCAAAUUUGAAAUCUGGGUCUUUCAGGCUCCGAGUUGUAAUUUGUAGAAGAUGCUUUGGGUGCGGCCCCGGUCUAAGUUCCUUGGAACAGGACGUCAUAGAGGGUGAGAAUCCCGUAUGUGAUCGGUGGCCUGCGCCCGUGUAAAGCUCUUUCGAC